rnacentral:rRNA from 1 species
UACGGGGGGGGCAAGCGUUGUUCGGAAUUACUGGGCGUAAAGGGCUCGUAGGCGGCCAACUAAGUCAGACGUGAAAUCCCUCGGCUUAACCGGGGAACUGCGUCUGAUACUGGAUGGCUUGAGUUCGGGAGAGGGAUGCGGAAUUCCAGGUGUAGCGGUGAAAUGCGUAGAUAUCGGGAAGAACACCAGUGGCGAAAGCGCUCUACUGGGCCAUAACUGACACUGAGGGACGAAAGCUAGGGGAGCGAAAGGG